rnacentral:rRNA from 1 species
AGAGUUUGAUCAUGGCUCAGAAUCAACGCUGGCGGCGCGCUUAACACAUGCAAGUCGAACGAGAAAGGGGAGCAAUCCCUGAGUACAGUGGCGUACGGGUGAGUAACACGUGGAUGAUCUAUCUCUUAGUGGGGAAUAACCCUGGGAAACCGGGGAUAAUACCGCAUAAGCUCGAGAGAGGAAAGCAGCAAUGCGCUGAGAGAGGAGUCCGCGGCCGAUUAGCUAGUUGGGAGGGUAAAAGCCUACCAAGGCAGAGAUCGGUAGCCGGCCUGAGAGGGCACACGGCCACACUGGCACUGAAACACGGGCCAGACUCCUACGGGAGGCAGCAGUGGGGAAUCUUGCACAAUGGGGGCAACCCUGAUGCAGCGACGCCGCGUGAGCGAUGAAGCCCUUCGGGGUGUAAAGCUCUUUCGGCAGGGAAGAUAAUGACGGUACCUGCAGAAGCAGCUGCGGCUAACUACGUGCCAGCAGCCGCGGUAAUACGUAGGCAGCGAGCGUUGUUCGGAGUUACUGGGCGUAAAGGGUGUGUAGGCGGUUGUUUAAGUUUGGUGUGAAAUCUCCCGGCUCAACUGGGAGGGUGCGCCGAAAACUGGGAGGCUAGAGUGCGGGAUGGGAGAGUGGAAUUCCUGGUGUAGCGGUGAAAUGCGUAGAUAUCAGGAGGAACACCUGUGGUGUAGACGGCUCUCUGGACCGCAACUGACGCUGAGACACGAAAGCGUGGGUAGCAAACAGGAUUAGAUACCCUAGUAGUCC